rnacentral:rRNA from 1 species
UACGUAGGGGGCUAGCGUUGUCCGGAAUCAUUGGGCGUAAAGAGCGUGUAGGCGGCCCGGUAAGUCCGCUGUGAAAGUCCAGGGCUCAACCCUGGGAUGCCGGUGGAUACUGUCGGGCUCGAGUCCGGAAGAGGAGUGUGGAAUUCCUGGUGUAGCGGUGAAAUGCGGCAGAUAUCAGGAGGAACACCAAUGGCGAAGGCAGCACUCUGGGACGUGACUGACGCUGAGACGCGAAAGCGUGGGGAGCAAACAGG